CCUACGGGUGGCAGCAGUCGAGAAUCAUUCACAAUGGGGGAAACCCUGAUGGUGCGACGCCGCGUGGGGGAAUGAAGGUCUUCGGAUUGUAAACCCCUGUCAUGUGGGGGCAAAUUAAAAAGAUAGUACCACAAGAGGAAGAGACGGCUAACUCUGUGCCAGCAGCCGCGGUAAUACAGAGGUCUCAAGCGUUGUUCGGAAUCACUGGGCGUAAAGCGUGCGUAGGCUGUUUCGUAAGUCGUGUGUGAAAGGCGCGGGCUCAACCCGCGGACGGCAGAUGAUACUGCGAGACUAGAGUAAGGGAGGGGGAACCGGAAUUCUCGGUGUAGCAGUGAAAUGCGUAGAUAUCGAGAGGAACACUCGUGGCGAAGGCGGGUUCCUGGACAUUAACUGACGCUGAGGCACGAAGGCCAGGGGAGCGAAAGGGAUUAGAUACCCUAGUAGUC
rnacentral:rRNA from 1 species